rfam:Asian citrus Psyllid, Diaphorina citri - Florida Strain, whole genome shotgun sequence.
GACAGCGGUGAUAGAACGUUGAAUGCUCCAGUUCCCAAAUGUUCACUUAAGUUAAGCAACGUUGCACUUCGUUAGAAUUCGGAUGGGUGCCCGGAUCUGGGCAAUCACGUCCGGCUGUCU